UAGCUCAGUUGGGAGAGCGUUAGACUGAAGAUCUAAAGGUCCCCGGUUUGAUCCUGGG
rfam:Danio rerio unplaced genomic contig NA918, GRCz11 reference primary assembly.